UACGGGGGGAGCAAGCGUUGUUCGGAUUUACUGGGCGUAAAGGGCGCGUAGGCGGCCACCGCAAGUCGACUGUGAAAUCUCCGGGCUUAACUCGGAAACUGCCGUGGAUAUUAUCAAUCUUGAAUAUCGUGGAGGUAAGCGGAAUAUGUCAUGUAGCGGUGAAAUGCUUAGAUAUGACAUAGAACACCAAUUGCGUAGGCAGCUUACUACACGAUCAUUGACGCUGAGGCACGAAAGCGUGGGGAGCAAACAGG
rnacentral:rRNA from 1 species